rnacentral:rRNA from 1 species
GACAGAGGGUGCAAACGUUGUUCGGAAUUACUGAACGUAAAGCGCGCGUAGGCAACAGCGUGUGUCGGGCGUGAAAUCCCACGGCUCAACCAUGGAAGUGCACUCGAAACUGCGCAGCUAGAGUCUCGGAGAGGAAAGCAGAAUGCUUGGUGUAGAGGUGAAAUUCGUAGAUAUCAAGCGGAACGCCGAUGGCGAAGGCGGCCUUCUGGACAAUGACUGACGCUGAAGCGCGAAAGCGUGAAGAGCAAACAGG